GGAGGAGUCGCAUAGUUUGGUCCAUUGCGGAGGGUUGCUAACCCUCUGAGUCUAAAAAGCUCGCGUGAGUUCGAAUCUCACCUCCUCCG
rnacentral:tRNA from 1 species